UACGGGGGGGGCAAGCGUUGUUCGGAAUUACUGGGCGUAAAGGGUUCGUAGGUGGCCCGCCAAGUCAGACGUGAAAUCCCUCAGCUCAACUGGGGAACUGCGUCUGAUACUGGUGGGCUUGAGUGCAGGAGAGGAAUGCGGAAUUCCAGGUGUAGCGGUGAAAUGCGUAGAUAUCUGGAGGAACACCGGUGGCGAAGGCGGCAUUCUGGACUGCAACUGACACUGAUGAACGAAAGCCAGGGUAGCAAACGGG
rnacentral:rRNA from 1 species